UGAACGCUGGCGGCAUGCUUUACACAUGCACGUCGACCGGCAGCGCGGGCUUCGGCCUGGCGGCGAGUGGCGAACGGGUGAGUAAUGCAUCGGAACGUGCCCAGUAGUGGGGGAUAGCCCGGCGAAAGCCGGAUUAAUACCGCAUACGACCUGAGGGUGAAAGCGGGGGACCGAAAGGCCUCGCGCUAUUGGAGCGGCCGAUGUCGGAUUAGCUAGUUGGUGGGGUAAAGGCUUACCAAGGCGACGAUCCGUAGCUGGUCUGAGAGGACGACCAGCCACACUGGGACUGAGACACGGCCCAGACUCCUACGGGAGGCAGCAGUGGGGAAUUUUGGACAAUGGGGGCAACCCUGAUCCAGCCAUGCCGCGUGCGGGAAGAAGGCCUUCGGGUUGUAAACCGCUUUUGUUCGGGAAGAAAUCCUCUGGGCUAAUACCCCGGGGGGAUGACGGUACCGGAAGAAUAAGCACCGGCUAACUACGUG
rnacentral:rRNA from 1 species